rnacentral:misc_RNA from 1 species
CGGACCGCACGGCGGAGCUCGGCGGCGGCCUGAUUCGUCGCCUCGCCCGGCACCUCAACCGCAAGGUCUCCGAGAUCCUGCUCCUCCUCUUCAAUCACAAGAGCGCUGGCUCGGUCGGCGCGCUCGCCGGAUUUGCAAUUGCUGUCGUAUUCACCUGGAAGUUCUUGCGGUCGCCUCCUGCGGGGCAGAGGGUUAACCGGCCGAAGCGGAGGGUUGCUCCGCCGGCGAGCGGUGGUGUUAGUGCUGGGGGUUCCGGAGGUGAAGAUUAUGCGACCGAGUCGAGUUUAAAGGAAAUUGAUGUGAUUGAGGGGGCAGAGCUUACUAUUGGUCAAAUAGUGAGAAGGAAGCUUGGAGGUUGUCGGAAGGUGACAUGCCAGUUACUUGGCGUGGUUCUGGAAGAGAAGGCACCAGAAGAACUUCAGAAACAAGCUACCGUGAGGCUCUCUGUUGUGGACAUUCUUCUGGAAAUUACGAAGUUUUGUGAUCUUUAUUUAAUGGAAACAGUUCUUGAUGAUGAAAGUG